GUGAAACACCACUAAAACAUCAUUAAUACUCAGAAAACACUUAAUUUUAUACCCCUGUCCUAAUGAAAUAACUUGUACAAUUUGAAAUUCUAUUUAUCUUUUAUCAUAGUCUGGCUUGAUUUAUAAUGAUUACCAACUAAUUUUGAUUCCUUUUCUCAUGAAAAUUAAUAUUCUCUAGAAGAAAAUGAUGUCAUUUCAACAGAGAGCAAGGAACACAAAUAUUAACACAGAUAAUCUUAUUUGUAUACCUUUGUAAGGAAAUCGUAUGUGAUGUCCUUAAAGCUACAAAGAGUUUCAAAACACUAGGGGAGACUAAGGAUCUUACUUAAAAUGAAAAAUACAGAUUUUCUUUUAGGUUCUCUAUUUUCUUCCAUGCUGCUUCUCUUCUGUUUGCCACAGGUAAAAAUAAAUUUUCCCAGCAACCCAUAUGCUUUUCCCCUUAAACAUUUAUAGGCUUUAAUAGCAACUGUCUAUUUUGCUUUUUAUUGCCAUGGUUAUUCAAGGUAAGCAUUUUGCUAACAUCUCUUAGAGAAAAUCAAUAUAUUUUACAGACUUUACUUUGUACUGGCACUUUGCCUUGUAAGUAACAUAAAAUU
rnacentral:lncRNA from 1 species